AAUUAUCAAGAGGUAUGUGAGAAAUAAAAUAGGGUGUGUGGAUAGCACACCCCAAAAAAAAAAUUGUUGAUAGUUUUAUCGAGGACAAGAGAGGAAAGUAACUGGUAGGCCUUCCUGAAGGAUGGUACCAUCCCAAAACGUGUACUCUGAGUCGUUGGAACAUGCAUAUAUCCGUAACGGUUGCACAGAAGUCCGGCUUCUAAGUUAUAAUUAAUUCGCAUCAUAUAUGCACAACAUCCGUUAUCCACCACUGAGUCCU
rnacentral:lncRNA from 1 species